rnacentral:rRNA from 1 species
CUCGCCUGCAUGAAGUCGGAAUUGCUAGUAAUCGUGGAUCAGCAUGCCACGGUGAAUACGUUCCCGGGCCUUGUACACACCGCCCGUCACACCAUGGGAGUCGGUAACACCCGAAGCCUGUAGUCUAACCGCAAGGAGGACGCAGUCGAAGGUGGGAUUGAUGACUGGGGUGAAGUCGUAACAAGGUAAC